rnacentral:rRNA from 1 species
CAGCAGCCACGGUAAUACGGAGGGUGCAAGCGUUAUCCGGAUUUAUUGGGUUUAAAGGGUCCGUAGGCGGAUCUGUAAGUCAGUGGUGAAAUCUCACAGCUUAACUGUGAAACUGCCAUUGAUACUGCAGGUCUUGAGUAAAUUUGAAGUGGCUGGAAUAAGUAGUGUAGCGGUGAAAUGCAUAGAUAUUACUUAGAACACCAAUUGCGAAGGCAGGUCACUAAGAUUUAACUGACGCUGAUGGACGAAAGCGUGGGGAGCGAACAGGAUUAGAUACCCGAGUAGUCCCUGUCUCUUAUAA